rnacentral:pre_miRNA from 1 species
UGUUAUGGAUGAGCAAAGAAAGUGGUUUGUUGAGAUGGAAUCUACUCUUAGUGAAGAUGCUAUGAA